UACGGGGGGAGCAAGCGUUGUUCGGAUUUACUGGGCGUAAAGGGCGCGUAGGCGGUCAGCACAAGUCAGUUGUGAAAUCUCCGGGCUUAACCCGGAGCGGCCAAGUGAUACUGUCGUGCUAGAGUGCGGAAGGGACUACUGGAAUUCUCGGUGUAGCGGUGAAAUGCGUAGAUAUCGAGAGGAACACCUGCGGCGAAGGCGGGUAGCUGGGCCGACACUGACGCUGAUGCGCGAAAGCCAGGGGAGCGAACGGG
rnacentral:rRNA from 1 species